UUUACAGAAAUAGGUAGCUGGAAACCUUUAAGGUUAAUCUUUUAGAAUCCUGAAAGAAGAGAUGGAAAUUAACGAAACAUAAACAUAACCUAUGUCAAAAACCUAUUUCAAUAAAGUAUUAUCUGUUUGUGAUGUUAUUCAAGUAUCUUAAAGGAAAUGAAUUUCUCCUUUAAUGAAUUAGAUAGCUCAUAUUGAACCUAAAAGAAUGGAACAAAAAGUAGUAGGAAAAUCUGCUUCUAAUGCUGCAGUUGAAAGUAACCAAAAAGAUGGGAGUAAUAAGCUUUACAUCUGAUUUAAAUUCAUCAAAACGAAGUUUCGUAAUUUCCAGAACAAAUUCAUCGACUUGAGAGUAAAAGUUUUUUAUUUAUUUUGCAUAUAUAUUUGAUAAUGUUUUAGAAUUUUGUUAUUUCUUUUUUGUUAAAUAAAAUGUAUUUUGAUUUA